ensembl:ncRNA lncRNA:CR44699 long non-coding RNA:CR44699
AUCAUAAUGCAAUUUAAGUCGAGCUAACUGCCUUUAGUGUCUGCUGUCUAAGGAUUUGGGUAAUGUGUCGAGCACUAAUUACCGGUACUUUUAUAAGACCCGACAAUUUGGGAUGACCCCGCAGAACAAUGGAUUUUAUUAGAACGCUCUUAAUUGGAAACUGUGUACGGGAAAAAUGUUAGCAAACGAGGAAUGGAAUGGCUAAGUAAGGAGAAAAUUUUGUAGCAUUACCUAUGCGCAUUAAAGUCAUGAAAAAUGCAUAAAUUGACAUCGUGGGAACUUUGGCAAAACAGUGCAGUCCAUAACCAGAUGGUGGCCCAGAUGGUCGGAAACUUAAGCCAAACGAUGUGUACUUUUCGCAUAUGCUGGCAAUUGGAUUAUUUGAAUAAAUCAAUUUGCGCAGGCGCAUCGUCCCGAAACAGAUCC